AUUGAACGCUGGCGGCAUGCCUUACACAUGCAAGUCGAACGGUAACAGGCCGCAAGGUGCUGACGAGUGGCGAACGGGUGAGUAAUGCAUCGGAACGUGCCCAGUCGUGGGGGAUAACUGCUCGAAAGAGCAGCUAAUACCGCAUACGACCUGAGGGUGAAAGCGGGGGACCGUAAGGCCUCGCGCGAUUGGAGCGGCCGAUGUCAGAUUAGCUAGUUGGUGGGGUAAAGGCCUACCAAGGCAACGAUCUGUAGUUGGUCUGAGAGGACGACCAGCCACACUGGGACUGAGACACGGCCCAGACUCCUACGGGAGGCAGCAGUGGGGAAUUUUGGACAAUGGGCGCAAGCCUGAUCCAGCAAUGCCGCGUGCAGGAAGAAGGCCUUCGGGUUGUAAACUGCUUUUGUCAGGGAAGAAAUCUUCUGGGCUAAUACCCCAGGAGGAUGACGGUACCUGAAGAAUAAGCACCGGCUAACUACGUGCCAGCCGCCGCCGUAACAC
rnacentral:rRNA from 1 species